AUGCCAACACCUCUCAUAUAUACCCAAACUUCCAGAAAGAAACCUAGAUCGGAAGUUCCGCCGCUGCAAGCCUCUGUAGCCACGAGAAAUCAAUCUAGGCCCUCUCUGGCACCCUGUCGGAGGGGGCCAUCAUCACUGGUGGCCAUGGAGGAGUAUCCCGGAGAGGCCAUCAUUGCCAUGAAGGCCAAGGACCAGAGGGAGAACCUUUCCCCAUCCAGGGGGAGGCCAUGGAGGAGGAAGCACAAGGGGGAGAAACUCUCCUCCUCUCUCUUGGUGGCAUUGGAGUGCCAUCGGGAGGGGAAUCAUCGUCGCGGUGAUCGUCUUCAUCAACAUCACCAUCAUCAUCACCAUCCUCAUCUCUUUUACGCGGUCCACUCUCCCGCACCCCGCUGUAAUCCCUACUUGAACAUGGUGCUUUAUGCCACAUAUUAUGAUCCAAUGAUGUGUUGCUAUCCUAUGAUGUUUUGA
rnacentral:rRNA from 1 species